AACAUUUUGAAUGGUACCAACGGUCAAAUAUUCCGAACCCUCCGUAUAUCGAAACAUCGCUCCCAUCAUCCAACGGUUCAUAACGCGAAUAGGGAAUCAGUCAGAAAUCCAAACUCACACGUCGUCGUUUUGCACCCCUUCUUCUCCGAACUUCGUUUCCGCCCAUCAUGUAUUCCCACACUCUCUGCAGUUCCUUAUAUUCGCAACAACUACAAAACUCACAAUGAAAGCGUUUUUCACCGUUCUUCUUGAAAACAAUGGAAGCUUCUAAGAAGAAAGGGGUUGCGAUGAAGAAGACCAACGAUCACUGGGCUUUUCUGGAGCAUAUUGAAGCACCUAUGUGGGUAGAUUUGACUGUUGAAGCUGUAUCUGGUGGUGUAGACACAGGUGGUGAUGAUUGGUUCAACAAAAGUCAUCCGUUCCACCAAAUGUCAGCUCGAGAGUUAAAAUCCAAGUUUUCUCAGGGUGACGAGAUAUUGGCACCAGGAAUUGAUCUGCAAGGAGUAAAUUCGCCUGAGCUUCCUUCUUCGGUCUCGAGAUCUAGAGGCAAACACUACAACAAGAAGUGGGAAGGUAUUAAUCUGAAUACUUUAUUAGAUAAUCAGACGAGUAGGAGAGGCUUACAACAAUAUUCAAGCUUUGGUCAAGUGAAACCCAGAUUAAAAUCAAACGUGAUCAGGCCAAAAAGAGCAUUGAGUGGGAAGUUUGGAUUGACUUUUGAACCGCAAGCCAGAGGAAAAACUGUAUCAAAGGUUAGUUGUAGCAAAACAGUGGGUAGUUCUAGUUCAGAUCGCAAGACUGGUGGAAGCUCUCCAAGAAGCACAAUUACAUCUGAUAACACUCAGAAGUAUACGGAGGUAUCUAGCAAACCAUGUGAUCAGAAAAGAAGUUCAUCAAUUAGGAGGGUUAGUGUUGGGAAAUGUGUUACAAGAAAAGUCUCAAACAUUCAGCCACAAAAGAAAUGUUUGGGGGUAAGUAGUCAACCAUGUGAUCAGAACAGUAGAAGUUCAUCCAUUAUUAGCGUUAGGAGAAGCUAUGUUUCAGUAAAGACUUCAAAAGUGGAGAUAGGUGAUAAUAGCACGCAAUCAAGGGGUAGUAAAUCAUCUUCUGGGAAGUCUAGUGUUGGGUCAUGUUCAGACACAAGUGUUGAAGCUAAGUUUGUAUCAAGGCAGCACAGAGAGAAAAUCACAUAUCAGAAAGGUGGGGUGACAAUUAAGCGUGCGAUUAAGAAUAGUUGCAAGCCAGGUGAAACAUCGAAGGCAACAAAGUCUGGUAACAGAAUGGGAAAUAACAUCAAUUUUUCGAAGCCAGCAUACCAUCGAACAGCAAAGUCAUUGGUCCAGUAUCCGUCUACAAGUUCAAAGGCAUCGUUACAACACAUAGUGAAUAAAAAAAACAGCUGUAUGGAUGGUGCCAAGGAGAAACUAAGAACUACCAAGGUUAGUAGUUUGACAGCCAAGGGAAAAGAGAAUAUAACAAAGAAUGUGACAGUGAAUAGGAAAUGCAUUGCAAGAGGUGUUUCUGCAGGGGGGCCGUGUUAGAAGUUAUAGAAUUACUGAACACAACCUACAAAAGGGUGACGAAGCAGGAUCAACUGCUUUGACAAAUAGUGGAGAGAGCACCAAUCAACCUGAAGCAAAGAACCCAGUUAAUCUGGCCAUGAGGAAUUACCCACGCUAGAUGAGUACAACAUUCUUUCUUUCAUGUAUAAAAAAUUACGGAAAAAAAUGAUGACCCUUCCCUUUUCAAAAUCUGGCAAAGUUACGUGCUCGGUGAAGCCUUAUAUUGGUUUAUCUUAGUUAAAGUAUAUAUCGUAAAUUCUACUAUGGCUAUGGCCCUUCCCUUCAAUGUUUAUUUUAGUUGCUU